rnacentral:tRNA from 1 species
GGGUAUAGCUCAGUGGUAGAGCGUGUGCUCAGCAUGCAUGAGGUCCCUGGGUUCAAUCCCCAGUACUGCCA